AGUAGCAUGGAAUGAGUCUGCCAAACUGAGAGACCACAGCAACAUUGCCAGUGUAGGACAGCUGGUCAUCAAUGCCACCCCAAGGUUGCCUACCGACUUGAGGAAAGCUGAAGAGCGACGAGCUGCGGAGCUGACAGACGGCCUGAGAUAAGCAGAAGGAAAAGGUCUGUGUUUGCCAGGCUGGGCUGCAGGGGGCACUCUGUCAACCUGGCUGCGAUGUCAGUGAGAUUUGCCACAGAGUUUCUAGGUGACAACGUGUGAGAGAAUGACAGGUACAGCUGCCUAUCACUGGGACAGCACGGGUGAGACGAGACGGGACAGGACAGGACACCUUAGUGAGGAUGGGCAGAGAGAGGAGAGACGAGGCCCACCAGCGACCAUUGGGAGAGCUCAGUCUUGCCUGGUGAACAUGUGACAGCUCUCUAUGCCAGCACAAAUGACAGUAGGCCUCAAAGUCCCUGAGGUUAGCCCCAGUGAUGCCAAGGUCAGAAGGGGUGGCAAGAGGGACAGCUGUACCUCACGAUUUGAGACUGUUAUGUCUUCAGUGCCAUACUGACAGCGUAAAGCAGACCACCAUCAUCGACUUCUGCUGAUUAUUAACAUCAGGACUGAGAUUAAAGUCGCGGACUGGGCGGGGGUGUAAAUGUCACGUCGGUCUUGAUGGUUUCUGUUUGUUUUUUCGGUAUCGUGAUUGCCGUGUGUGUCGGGGCAGCACCAUCCCGCUUCACGUGUUCUCCCCUGCCAGUUGUUAGCGGUUGAUUUCUGAGCUGACUGAGCCUCCCGUCCUCCUCGACUGCAAGCAGCAAUGCGACCUCAGCACUCCUACACGUCUGGGGUCGUCUACUGUAGAAAGUAUCCGCCAUUGCUUUGGAAACCAAAGCGACCAUCUAACGGGACGCGCUAACUGAACUUCACCCGCGUUGUGCCCAUAAUUAAAAAAAAGUAAAAAUAAGAAAACAUUUUAGGCUUUGAAUGUCAAGGAUCAGCACAGCGAGGGACCUCAGCGGGCAAACUGAUUCACAAAUCACACAGCUGCUCCUUAUAUACCGCCGCGCUCGUCACUUGUCACUCACUUCCUGCCAGGUGCACUGGGGGCUCGCGGCCAGCCCGCCGCCACUCCGCUCGGCGCACUCCGUCCGUCCGCAACAGCCAUGCGGUUCUUCUUCUGCUUCGUUCUUCUGUCGUGCUAUUCAGACAGAGGACUCGCCAUAGACUUGAUACAAGACAAGCUAACGGCCAUCAAGGGACCCAGGAAAACGGCUCGGAUCGCCUGUCGCCUGAGCGGCUCGGCCACCUACGUCCACUGGUAUCGGCAGAAGGACAGCGAGGCCCCGGAGCGCGUCCUGUACAUCCCCACGAGUGGGGGCAACCCGGUGCGCGACGACCCGACGCUCCGGCAAAAGUUCAAUGCUGAGAAAAAUAACGACGAGUACACGUUAAUCAUCGAUAACACCCAAGUGGAGGACUCGGCGACAUAUUACUGUGCCGCAUGGGAGUACCACACCGCUCGAGGGGCGCUGGCAGCCCGUUCAAAUACUCAUGUUCAACUGGAGCAUGACAGCAGGAGAAGGAAAUGCAGACACGGGGCACUGGCGGACAUCAUGGGGCACACCAUUGAUCUGAAACCCCCCUAUAGUGGCGUCUGCCUUUGUGGUGCAGCGCAGAGGACUUCUGAUUGUACCUGGUGCUGUGACUUUGUGUGA